UGGAGGCAGCAGUAAGGAAUAUUGCACAAUGGGCGAAAGCCUGAUGCAGCAACGCCGCGUGCGCGAUGAAGGCCUUCGGGUCGUAAAGCGCUUUUCUGGGAGAUGAGAAAGGACAGUAUCCCAGGAAUAAGUCUCGGCUAACUACGUGCCAGCAGCCGCGGUAAAACGUAGGAGGCGAGCGUUAUCCGGAUUCACUGGGCGUAAAGCGCGUGCAGGCGGUUCGGUAAGUUGGGCGUGAAAUCUCCCGGCUCAACUGGGAGAGGUCGUUCAAUACUACCGGACUCGAGAGCGAUAGAGGAAAAUGGAAUUCCCGGUGUAGUGGUGAAAUGCGUAGAUAUCGGGAGGAACACCAGUGGCGAAAGCGGUUUUCUGGAUCGUUUCUGACGCUCAGACGCGAAAGCUAGGGUAGCAAACGGGAUUAGAUACCCCGGUAGUCCC
rnacentral:rRNA from 1 species